GACGAACGCUGGCGGCGUGCUUAACACAUGCAAGUCGAACGGAAAGGCCCCCAUCUUGGUGGGGGUGCUCGAGUGGCGAACGGGUGAGUAACACGUGGGUGAUCUGCCCUGUACUUCGGGAUAAGCUUGGGAAACUGGGUCUAAUACCGGAUAGGACCAUGGUUUAGUGUCUCAUGGUGGAAAGAUUAUUGUUUUGGUGCAGGAUGAGCUCGCGGCCUAUCAGCUUGUUGGUGGGGUAAUGGCCUACCAAGGCGUCGACGGGUAGCCGGCCUGAGAGGGUGGACGGCCACAUUGGGACUGAGAUACGGCCCAGACUCCUACGGGAGGCAGCAGUGGGGAAUAAUGCACAAUGGGCGCAAGCCUGAUGCAGCGACGCCGCGUGGGGGAUGACGGCCUUCGGGUUGUAAACUCCUUUCGUUAGGGACGAAGCCACGCUUGUUGGGUGUGGUGACGGUACCUUUGUUAAGAAGCACCGGCUAACUACGUG
rnacentral:rRNA from 1 species